CUUGACUGCACGAACGGCGAGCGACGAAAUUCUAUUAAAACUCAUUCACUCCCAAAGACGUUUUUUAACGUCUUUUCAGACGUGGUCUCGAAUUGGCUGGUACUGAAUGAGUUAACAGUGCAACCUGUGUCAAGAGACAUUUAAAAAAAUGACCAACAGAGGGAGACAGAACAGAGAAACCUAACAAGUCGAGCGGGAAAAAAAAAAAAAAAAACGUCCACCCUUGUCGAGAGCUGAGAAGACAAGACGCUCCGUGACAGACGACGAGCGCUAAUGCCGGCCGUGCCAGUUGACAGAGACAGAAAAAACACAAAGUUCUUGUGUUUACAUUCCACACGCUUGACGAUUUUUUCUCUC